rnacentral:lncRNA from 1 species
UGGGCAGAGAAAGGAGCCAAUGAAAGAAGCAUGUUGACUUUGCCUGCUGCCUCCAGGGCCACCUUAUUCCACGAGGAUGUGAAAUCAGCAUUCUUGGAAUGACUAUUUCCAUUCUUUGCCUAAACAUUCUUCUCUAUAGUGAAUUUCAGAGGGAAGAGAUACAGACAACUAAUUUCUUUAGGGUUAGUCUGCCUAACAGAAGACUUUUACUGAAGAAAGGCUAACAGCUACAUUUAAGUAUUCGUGUGUCAAGGACCUGGAGAGAGGUGAGUUGGAAAUAGUAAAGGCACGAGAAGUGGUGAGUUAAGAACAUGGGUUCUGCAGCCUGGGUUAUUAUUCUGGCUUUACUAACUUUCUUGCUGGGUGACGUUAGGUAAGUUAGCUCUCCUGUCUGAGGAUGAAAAGAGGUAAUCAGCUCUGUUAGUAUCUAUACUGGUGGGAGCAUAGAUCUUUGGUUUAUUCCCCAAAUGUACUCUGAAUGCCCAGAGAAGUCCUUUGCACCUAGUAGGUGCUUGGUUGAUGUUUUUUGAAGGAAUAGCUUCCUCCCAGAGUGACAGAAAAUACAUAAGCCUGUCUCUAAGUUUCUUCAAAGCGUUCCUGCUCAUUCUCAGAAGGUCCUGCAUUAUUGGAAUGUCCUUACUGUUCUCCAAUAGUUAAAUGACCUCGUGUUUUGUUUAUUAUGCCAGACAAAAAUUAGCGGCCCAGUUAAGAGCCUAAACGCUUGGUGGACUUUCUCAUCGUCUAAAGUGUUUAUUGACCUGAAUGAAAGUAGGUGCAACAAUUUGAAGCUUCGACCAAAUUCGGUCUUUUUAAAAAUUUUACAGUUUACAAAACAAGAUGUUUUAUGGAUGGAGUUUAUACAUUGACUAGAAGAGGGCUAUUCCCAAUAUUGUCUUUAUCUUCUAGACAUAAAUAACAAACAACUCCAGGAAUCAAAAUUUACUACAAUCGUAAUAGAUUUUGGCAGAGUUUUUGUAUUGUGUGCAAUGCUGACAUAAUGCUACUUCCAAGGAUAGAGGGCAGGAUUUCUAGUUUGGCUUUGUUAAAUGGAAGAAAAAAAAAAUCCACUACUGUAUUUAGUUUUUACUACAUUCAAUAGAUUAAUUUUUAUAAAUAAAACUCUUUCUACUGGCUUCUAAUCAGAAAAUUGAAAUUAUCUGUGGCAAUGUAACCACUAACAACUUGUAUACUAUGAAAAUAUUUCAAUAAUUAAUGCAUGCUCCAUCUAAAGUAAUUGACAGGAGGUCAUAAACGUAAUGGGCCAUCUGUGUUUGAUUUGUACAUGAAAAUGCUUAAAGGGAUAGGCAGGUAGUUCAAGCUUCCCUGGCACAAAGAGAUUUGUUCCAAUUUCUUCAAGUAGCAGAGACACUUACUAUAGGGUGUUUUCCUUUCUUUUUUCUUAAAGUCUUUUCCAGAUUUCUACUUGAGCUCUGCAUUUCUCAGUGCUUCUCAUUCUAAUGCAAUCAUCUCGUUGAGAGUUUUGAGUAUAUGUGGAUCACAGGCAUCCUCAACAAUCAUACUAGGCUCUCUUAACCAUUUCAAUAGCAACCUAAAAACCAUAGUGCAAUUAAAAAAUGUCAGAGGCUCACUCCAAGGUUCUGACUAUCAUUCGUUCUGCUUAAUCCGACCACUUCAAAACUUUCCAAGUUUUUCCUCUUCUGUUGGUAAACAAACAACUAUGCUUAUAUCUAUUAACAAAGAGUAAUAGGACCAUUAGGAAUCUUAGUAUGAGUUUUGUAAUUCACUUCUUUGGGGGUGGACCAGAAUCAUCUUAUUUCUGGAAGUAAAAUGGUCAGAAGAAGUUCUAGAAUUUUCAGUGUGGGGAAACCAAAGAGCAUUGAAUAAUUGCCUAGAACACUGUCCUGAGAUCUAGCCCCAGUUCAUCUAAGAACACAUAUUCAACUGGAAUUUCCUGAGCAUUUAUCAUCUGUCAGAUAUUGUGCUAGGUAGUGAUUAUGUUGAAAGCCACGUGCUGAUUGGUUGAACUAAACCAGCAAGAUCCCUGCCCUCAGGGAUCUUACUUUCCAGUAGAUGCAACUUCUUCCUUUGAUAUCUUGCAGGCACUAUAAACACUAUGCCUAGGAGACUAAAUGUACUGCCUCUCCUGACCACCCCUCCUCCCUCUGCACUGCCUAUUUUGGGAAAAUGUGCCAACCAUCUACCCAGUUGCCCAAGGCAAGAACCUACAAUUAUCCUAGACUCUCCCACUUUCUCUUUUACCAAAGCAAUUCAUAAUUUCUGUCAAUGUCAAUUCCUUACCAUUGCUUGCCUCUACUUCUGUCUCUCCAUCUCUAGAGUUACCCUCUGAACUCACUUCUUAAUCCUUUUUGGUCUGGAAUAUUGCAACAGCUUCCAGUGUUACUUUCUAACUAAUCUAGUCCUUAUAGAUUAUGAAUUAUGUGGCAUUCUAUAUAAUGCUAUGUGACUGAAUUAAAAAAAAACAACAACCCCACUACCCAAUUAUUCAUCAAUUUGACAUUGCAAAGGGAUAAUAUCUAGGUGUUUAACAGAAGUUUUUAUUUUUUCAGAUACAUUUUUGCUUUUUAACAGGCGCAACCCCUUUCUCUCUCUCACAGAAGUAAACUCCAGCUACUCUUCAGAUUUUAAUCAGAAGAUAAAAAUAUAAAACUAGAAAUUCAAUAAAAAUAAAAGUUCAGCUUUUACCAUUUCCUGAACAUGUAUUCAUUAUCUUUUAAUCAAUAAAGUGUGCUUUAAGAUUGAUAAGAAAAAUGAGAACUUUAAAAAUUGUUAAUGAUUGUGUUUAAUGUAUAAUAUAUUGAAGCAAAGGGAUAGUUUUAGAUAUUUGAGUUAUACCAGGAAGAAAAUGCACCCGUGGUUGUUUUAAACGUAGCUGAGUGUGCCAUGCUCUUUAGGAUACAGCUGAAAGGGGGCUGAAGAUGGUGACAUGGGGCGCCUUUUGUUUCUCUUUAUGCUCCAAGCUUAGAAGUUUGACUUUUCCCUUCAACACAUUGGACUAGUUGUUUCUGAUUUAUCCUAAUGAUCAGAAGAAUUUUAAUGUAUUUUUCUGUAUAUCCAAACACUAAAAAACAAUAUUAGGCAGCUAUAGUUCUUGCCACCCAGAUGUUCAGAGUUCAAAGCAAAUAACAACAUGACAGGCCAGAGGCAACUGAGCCAUCUAUCAAACAAAUGCACAGCCUGAUGAGACAGCAGAUUAAAAGGCUUAACUGAGGAUAGUUUCAGCUGGUGGAGAUAAGUACCCAACAGUGUUUUCCACCAAAAUGUAGUUUUUUUCUAUUGUUUUUCGAUACUGUAAAAGCAAUGUAUACUUGGUACAGAAAAAUGUUAGACUACACAAAGCAAAACAAAGAACACCUUCAAAAUGAAUUUUCCCUUUCAUCACAAAUCUGCCAUUGUCAUUGCACUGUUAUGUAUUCUUGCUGAUGUAUACAAUUGCGUCUCAUUCUACAUACACAUUGUAACCAGCCUUUUUCAUUUAAUAGAUCAUCAAAUAUGUCCUUAUCACUAGACCUAUUUAUUUAGUGUCAUUGUUAUGGCUUCACAUUAUUCCAUUUCUGGAUUUACUAAUAUGUAUUUAAACAAUUCACAUUUAUGACACAUUCCAAUUGUUUCCAACUUUUCUCUAUUUCAUGCUUUUGCUUAAAAUAUGUAGAAUAAGAGGUCUUGAUUGGUAUAAUCAUCUCAAGGUAUGUGGGCUGGGAUAAGAAACUAUUGUUUGUCAAGAUGGCAUAUUACAGGCUGCAAAACAGUUCAUCGAUCACCUUUAAAAAAUUAAACCAUAAAAACUGAGAAUAAGAUAUGAAUACAUCAAGUUAUCAUGAUUCUUUAUGUUAAAAAUUUGGAGGUUAUGUUUUACAAACAAAUCAGUCCAGUGUUUGAGAGUGACGGUAAAAAAAGUUUGGAUGGUGAGGUGGAUAUUAUAAGGAUAUGAGACAAGAGCGGGCUUUGGAGGCAAAUGGACAGCUGCUGGAAUCAUAGCUUUCUGACUGGGUCACUUGAGCCCCGGACUCUGUGUAGGUGAGAACACCUAACACUGUAAUUGGCACCCUGUAGAUCUGGGAGAGUUGGCACCCAUUUAAAUGAGAUGGAAGAACAAGGUCUCAGAACGUGAGGAAGGUGAAUGAAGACCAUAUGAUGGAGGGAUGGCAAGAAUGUGAAGGAAAUACUGAAAUAACUCUGUGUGCCUGAGAACGGGGGAGAGAACUUGGAGAUGGAAUGAGGAGAGAGAAAAUGCUACCGAGGGCCAUAGUGCAACAGAACAGAAAGAUGGUGAUGAUGUUGAUGAGGACAGGGCUAAUAUAUGGCAUUUAUAAUAGUAAUGAUAACAGGAGUUUGUACUUAUGUAGUAUUUAGUAUGUGCCAAACAACAAGGUCUCUAAGCAUAUUACGUGCUUAUACUUUAAGUACCGUCACCAUUUAAUUCUCACCAUGCCCUAUCUGACCUACCUCCUACACCUGCUGUAAGGAUUAAAUGGGUUAAUAUUUGUAAGCACUUAAAGCAGUUCUAUAUAAAUGUUUGUCAUUACAGCCCUCCUUUUACUGAGGCAAAGAGAAGUCAAGUGCCUUGCCUGAGGCCACACAGCUUGUCAAUGGCAGGAGUGGGAUUAGAACCUAGCCAUCUGGUUCCAGACAGGCCCAUGUUGCCUUGGAGAGAUCUCUGGCCAAGCACAGCAGUGAUGAGGUGCAGCUUCCCCUGCAUUUAUUUCAAGAAUGAGAGAAAGAGGCUUCCUUUCUCCAUAUGAAUGACCCUGAAGGCUGAAGCUUUCUAAUAAUGAGCACUCACGGGCCAGCUAGUGGCUACAUUACUGCCGCCCUGUCUUGCUUCUUCCCAUCCACUCCAUCCCUGCAGCCAUCUUUGGCGUGGCUCUGUGGGCAGGGCACCCUCUUGAGAGGUGUAGCAUUAUUGAGCAAAAUGGAAAUGAAAUAUAGAACCAGUUUAUAGAAAGGUCACCGUGACGGGGAAAGGAUUUAAAAUUUCCUUACAGAAUCACUGUUUCCAAGACGAUUGGGAUCAUAUUGGACUAAGGUCAUUUCUGUCUUGUCCUUUUCCUAGCUCAUCUUGCCUGGCUUCUGCCUCUCAAUUAUUCCACCCUAUUACCCUGUCCCUACUGUGACAAUGAUGGCGAUGACAGGAAUGCUGUAAACUCAUGGUUAUAGAGCUCUUAUUAUGUGGCAGGUACAUUCAUGCAUCAUCUCAUUUAAUUCUCAUAGCAGCUUGGUGAGGAAGGCAUUUAAAAAAAUCUUGCUUUAUAUGUGAAUCUAUUGAGGUUCAGAAAGGGCACAUUACUUGGCCGGUAAGUGGGAAGGUUGUAAAGAAGGUCUGUCUUGCUAGAUUCUGAUGCCACACCCUCUCUUCUCACUUCCUAGUAUAACCACCUCCCCCAGCAUUCAGUUUUCCAGCAUCUCCUAAUUCUUGAAAAGGGUAACUGUGCAUAAGCUCCCCUGAGUUAGAUACUCUGCCAAGUUUUAUGCCUUCUAUCGCUUUUUUUGGGGUCUUUUUAGGGCCCCACUUGUGGCAUAUUGAGGUACUUAGGUUAGGGGUUGAAUAGGAGCUAUAGCCACUGGCCUAUGCUACAGCCAUAGAAACACCAGAUCUCAGCAACAUCUGCCAGCUACACUACAGCUCAUGGCAACGCCAGAUCUUUAACCCACUGAGCAAGGGCAGGGACCGAACCCGCAACCUCAUGGUUCCUAGUUGGAUUCGUUAACCACUGAGCCACGACGGGAACUCCAAUGAAUUCUUAAUAUGUAAUUCUUACACCCUGAUUCCUGAAUAGCUUGGAGAUUGUAGGAAAGAGGUAAGGAUGGAAGGCUGGCAUUGGGAGAAAAGAGAAAGGGUCAUUUAGCUUUGAACAAAUGCAUUUAGUCAUCUGUGCUUAUUUAUUUAAUUUUUGGAUAUGCAAGUUGAAGAAAGGUGUGGUAAAUAAGGAAUGGACCUGUGAAGAUUAUCUACCCAGUUUCAAACCCUUGGCUGGGUGCUCUGCAUAUGAUGCCAUUUAAUGGUUUAAUCAGGUCUGGCUUAAUAUGCAGAGCACACACAUACACACUCACGUCAUGCUUUCUUGAAACAUUCAUUAAGGAAUAAAAAUUAACAUAUUUUUAAAAAGUUGAUUAGGAGAGGGGUUUAUACAUAGAAUGUUAUUGUUAAAAGCGGCCACAAAUAAACACGUCAAAUACAUUACUGACGGAUGUCACUAUGAGGCCAGAAAGAUAGCAAUUUUAGCUGACAUGUGAGUUCAUAAAUCCUGACAUUGUUUUACAAGUUCAUUAGGAUGUUUUUCUGGUGGUAGCCACCAAGACACUAAUACUUGUGCUGCAGAGACAUCUGUGCCCACUGUGACUUCUCAGGUGGUCUUAACAGGGUGUCUUGCUAGUUGCAGCAUUUCUGAGGGGAGAUUCUUAUAACCUCACAAUGCCAGGUCAGAAGUUUCUUUUUGGAAUUCCUGUGGCGGUGCAGGGGAAAUGAAUCCAACUAGUAUCCAUGAGGAUUUGGGUUCAAUCCCUGGUCUCGCUCAGUGGGUCGGAGAGUCGGCAUUGCUGUGAGCUGUGGUGUAGUUCUCAGGCGCAGCUUGAGUUGCUGUAGCAAUGGCCUAGGCCAGCAGCUGCAGCUCCAAUUCAGCCCCUAGCCUGGGAACUUCCAUAUGCCACAAGUGUGGCCCU